AAAAUUGGCAAUAAUAUAAACAAAGGCGCACGGUUGCUAAAAGGUUGACUAAAAAGGGAUUGUAUCUAAUAAGUCGAAUACAGUAAUAUAUAUCUAGUGCAUGACCCAACUAAAAGACUCAUAAUCUUAAAAAAUUAUAAUUGUCCAAGAUAAAUAAGGCACUCAUAUUAAAGAGAUGGAAGGUAGAAUCAUUAAGAAGAUGUUGAAGGCAAGAUGAAAUGCUUUUUAACCUUCGCACCCCUUGAUAUCAAUCGAUCAUUACCAAUUAAUUAGGUAUUCAAAUCCAUUAAAAAGGAAAGCUUAUUAAUUAUUCCAAACGAUUAUGAUCGCCAAAAGGAUUGUUUACAUCCAAAUCUUCUGAUCUCUGAGCAUUAGAACCUCCGCUACUCGAGCGAGAUAUGUAAGAAGCCCGAUCAUCAAGGUGACGAGAAUAUGAAGAACUAUAGGAUCCACUAUCUGAACUAUAAUCUGAGUUUUCGGAGCAUUUUUCCUUGAAUGCAUCAAUGGCUGUCACAAUUUCAUCGUUUGCCUUCAAGAGAUUGGCUAACCACAUCUCGUCUUGAAUAGCUUGUAUGUAGCGCAACAAGGAGCGAUGAGCACGUUUACAAUCCACAUAAUAAACCAUGAUUUGCUUGUUUUUGGCCGGAUUUUCUGUGUUAGGAUUGAUUCGGACAAGGCUAUUAGAAAGAUUGGUAGCAGCCAUGCUGGAAGAGGCUAUCAAUCUUUCUAAAAUUGGACCAACCUUUUUAAGAUUGAUAGUGGGUUGUUCAGAAUGCGAAGCAGAUGAUUGUCGUUGAGGAAGUCGAGAUACUAAACUACUCAUGCUUUCCAUUCCACGAACAUUAGAAUAGUCAUUGUGCCAAAGUUUGAUCAUAUGGAUAGCACGCUUACGAACGGGUUUAGAAUAUUCAGAAUUUGUUGCACAUUGCAACAUUCGGUCUUCCAAUUUUUCGUCUGAGAAAUUUUGUAAAAAAUGAGAGCCAGCAUUUUCAAUUAAAGCCUGGAGAAUAACAAGUGCCCGAACUUGUUCAUGAGGUGUACUGUACUUUAACUUCUUACGAAGGGUACGAGAAGCCUCUCGCGGACCAGUAACAGUUAAAUUAACGGCUUCAGAUAAUUGAACGAUACCAGACAAAUCCUCAUCGUCGGUAUCUCUAGAGGUUAAACGAUCGAUAUAAGUGGUGACAGCAGUAAUUGGAACUGUUUCACUGAAAAUUCCCAUUAUAAAUAAGAUGAAAUAGUGAUUUUAAUUAUUCACUGAGAUAAUGAUAGCUUGAGUGUUUGAUGGCUUGAUGGAACAAAUUAAAGUCUGAAAAUAUAUAGCAGCAAGGAAUAAUUUUCAAUCGAUUGUAAACGGACCUUCCAAUAAACGAAAGUAGUACCUUCUGGU